rnacentral:rRNA from 1 species
UAAGGAAUAUUGGUCAAUGGACGCAAGUCUGAACCAGCCAUGCCGCGUGGAGGAUGAAGGCCCUCUGGGUUGUAAACUUCUUUUAUCUGGGAAGAAACCCAUCUUUUCUAAGGUGGUUGACGGUACCAGUUGAAUAAGCACCGGCUAACUCCGUGCCAGCAGCCGCGGUAAUACGGAGGGUGCAAGCGUUAUCCGGAUUCACUGGGUUUAAAGGGUGCGUAGGUGGGCAGGUAAGUCAGUGGUGAAAUCUCAGGGCUUAACCCAGAAACUGCCGUUGAUACUAUCUGUCUUGAAUAUAGUGGAGGUGAGCGGAAUAUGUCAUGUAGCGGUGAAAUGCUUAGAUAUGACAUAGAACACCAAUUGCGAAGGCAGCUCGCUACACUAUCAUUGACACUGAGGCACGAAAGCGCGGGGAUCAAACA